GAUGAAGAACGUAGCGAAAUGCGAUAAGUAAUGUGAAUUGCAGAAUUCAGUGAAUCAUCGAGUCUUUGAACGCACAUUGCGCCCCCUGGUAUUCCGGGGGGCAUGCCUGUCCGAGCGUCAUUGCUGCCCUCAAGCACGGCUUGUGUGUUGGGCCCCCGUCCCCGGUUUCCCCCGGGGACGGGCCCGAAAGGCAGCGGCGGCACCGCGUCCGGUCCUCGAGCGUAUGGGGCUUUGUCACCCGCUCUGUAGGCCCGGCCGGCGCCAGCCGACACCCAACUUUAUUUCUAAGGUUGACCUCGGAUCAGGUAGGGAUACCCGCUGAACUUAAGCGUAUCAAUAAGCGGAGGA
rnacentral:misc_RNA from 1 species